UUAAUUCGAAGCAACGCGAAGAACCUUACCAGGUCUUGACAUCCUUUGACCACUCUGGAGACAGAGCUUUCCCUUCGGGGACAAAGUGACAGGUGGUGCAUGGUUGUCGUCAGCUCGUGUCGUGAGAUGUUGGGUUAAGUCCCGCAACGAGCGCAACCCUUGAUUUUAGUUGCCAGCAUUUAGUUGGGCACUCUAAAGUGACUGCCGGUGCAAGCCGGAGGAAGGUGGGGAUGACGUCAAAUCAUCAUGCCCCUUAUGACCUGGGCUACACACGUGCUACAAUGGAUAGUACAAAGGGUCGCGAAGCCGCGAGGUGGAGCUAAUCCCAUAAAACUAUUCUCAGUUCGGAUUGUAGGCUGCAACUCGCCUACAUGAAGCCGGAAUCGCUAGUAAUCGUGGAUCAGCAUGCCACGGUGAAUACGUUCCCGGGCCUUGUACACACCGCCCGUCACACCACGAGAGUUUGUAACACCCGAAGUCGGUAGGGUAACCUUUAUGGAGCCAGCCGCCGAAGGUGGGACAGAUAAUUGGGGUGAAGUCGUAACAAGGUAGCCGUAUCGGAAG
rnacentral:rRNA from 1 species